rnacentral:misc_RNA from 1 species
UCUAAGAGCACGCUGGAGUAGUCA